AUUGGCACAAUUGUAGUCGUCAGUUAGGCAGCAGAAUCCGCAAGUUUUUGCACAAGAUGCAAUUGCAGCAGUCUUCAUGUCAGCCACAACAGCAGCUGGGGUAGCUGUGGCGGUUGUGUAGCAAGCAUAAGCUCUCUCAGCAUCAUUUCCAGCAGCUGGGUAUAGGGUGUCCGGGGCAGCAUAAAGAACCUGGCAAGAAGCAUCCGAGAUAGCGUUCGAGCAGGCAACCGCAGCCGGGGUGUAGACGAACUAGAAAGUAGGGAUUAUUAAAAGUUAGGGCUCUAGAGAUUGGCGGCAACCAAAUUUUGGGCCAUACGAUAAUUUGAUAAUUCAAAUUUUUUGACAAUUUGGGGAUUCUAAAAUUGCCGAGCUCA
ensembl:ncRNA T05B4.17 ncRNA